AGUGAACGCUGGCGGUAGGCCUAACACAUGCAAGUCGAACGGCAGCAUAGUAAGAGCUUGCUCUUACGGGUGGCGAGUGGCGGACGGGUGAGGAAUACAUCGGAAUCUACUUUUUCGUGGGGGAUAACGUAGGGAAACUUACGCUAAUACCGCAUACGACCUACGGGUGAAAGCGGGGGAUCUUCGGACCUUGCGCGAUUGAAUGAGCCGAUGUCGGAUUAGCUAGUUGGCGGGGUAAAGGCCCACCAAGGCGACGAUCCGUAGCUGGUCUGAGAGGAUGAUCAGCCACACUGGAACUGAGACACGGUCCAGACUCCUAUGGGAGGCAGCAGUGGGGAAUAUUGGACAAUGGGCGCAAGCCUGAUCCAGCCAUACCGCGUGGGUGAAGAAGGCCUUCGGGUUGUAAAGCCCUUUUGUUGGGAAAGAAAAGCAGCAGGUUAAUACCCCGCUGUUCUGACGGUACCCAAAGAAUAAGCACCGGCUAACUUCGU
rnacentral:rRNA from 1 species